rnacentral:rRNA from 1 species
AUUGAACGCUGGCGGCAUGCUUUACACAUGCAAGUCGAACGGCAGCGCGGGCUUCGGCCUGGCGGCGAGUGGCGAACGGGUGAGUAAUACAUCGGAACGUGCCCAGUAGUGGGGGAUAGCUCGGCGAAAGCCGGAUUAAUACCGCAUACGACCUGAGGGUGAAAGCGGGGGAUCUUCGGACCUCGCGCUAUUGGAGCGGCCGAUGGCAGAUUAGCUAGUUGGUGGGGUAAAGGCCUACCAAGGCGACGAUCUGUAGCUGGUCUGAGAGGACGACCAGCCACACUGGGACUGAGACACGGCCCAGACUCCUACGGGAGGCAGCAGUGGGGAAUUUUGGACAAUGGGCGAAAGCCUGAUCCAGCAAUGCCGCGUGUGUGAUGAAGGCCUUCGGGUUGUAAAGCACUUUUGGCGGGAACGAAAGGGACUGUGCCAA